GGGUGAUAUUGCCCAAAAGAUCACAUUAUGAAAAAAAUAUUGUUAUGAAGCAUUGAAGAAUUCUAGCCCCUCUUAUAUCACUUCACAGAUCCAUAGGUAUGCCCCUUCUCGGUCCCUCCGCUCUGCCCGUGACCUCCUCCAGUCCGCUGCUUGCACGUGUACGGCCAACUCGCGCUUUCAGGACUUAUCAUAGGCGACUCCCUUCCUAUGGAACAGCCUGCCUACCCCCAUCAGACUCCCCCCACCAAACACACUAUGUAACAUAUCAUCCACAUACAUAAUUCCACAAGCAGCCCUCAUAG